UUGAAAGGGAAACGAUUGAAGUCAGUCGUACCAGCGGGAAAUCAACCUUUCGAGUGGGGGUUUUGGAGUUUUGAAGAGUGUCAAAACCUUUGAGAUUUCAAAAUUUUCGCUCUUUUGGUGUACUUUCUCGUGGGUAGGUUAACAUCGAUUUUGAUCAUCAUAAAAAGAUUGGAGGAAUGUAGCUUCGAUCUUGUAUUGAAGUGUUAUAGCCUUUGGUAAAUGUGAUGAUUAGGAUCGAGGAUUGCAACGAAUACCCUUUUGGGCUAUCCGCCUGAUCUCUGAUACGUGGCCUUGGUAUCGAAAGCGUGCUUAUGGUUUGAGGUAUUACGGUCAAAAGGUUAGAACGGAUCCAUUCGCUUAAGGAUGUUGACGUA
rnacentral:rRNA from 1 species